GCCUUCUGCUGCCAGCCCUGAAGUUAGGAGUCUUCAGGGAGCCUGGCAGAUUUUGUUCAAGGAAAGAGCCAUCAAUCAGGGACGUAGUUUAGGGCUGUUAGUGUGUAACUUGCUGUGCUAGUAGACGUGGGUGCUGAGAGCCUAGGCUGGGCUGGGCAGUGAACGAUGGUGCUGCUGACGCCAGCGGGACUGUGAGUGGCCCUGAGCACAAGCCUUAAAGGAAAGAAGGAACUCCGCACGGUUUCUGCAGAGUGGUUGGGGGCCCUCCUGCCUCUGUGUGGAGCUCAGACCCAGACAUGUCUACAGAGCCACACUCUGACCCACCCUGAGACCCCACACACAGACUGACUACUCUUUAGACCCCUGAGGCACCCAGCCGUGCAUGGACACUGAUGAGCCUGCAGGAAGAGAGG
rnacentral:lncRNA from 1 species